rnacentral:rRNA from 1 species
GUUUACCUACGGGGGGCAGCAGUGGGGAAUAUUGCACAAUGGGGGGAACCCUGAUGCAGCGACGCCGCGUGGGUGAAGGAGUAUUUCGGUAUGUAAAGCCCUAUCAGCAGGGAAGAACAAUGACGGUACCUGACUAAGAGGCACCGGCUAAAUACGUGCCAGCAGCCGCGGUAAUACGUAUGGUGCAAGCGUUGUUCGGAAUGACUGGGCGUAAAGGGGGUGUAGGCGGUGUAGCAAGUUAGAAGUGAAAUACCUAGAGCUUAACUCAGGUGCUGCUUCUAAAACUGCUAUACUUGAGUGCAGUA